rnacentral:lncRNA from 1 species
GUAGUUAGUGGCAUGUUGACUGGACCGAAAAGACACCAGACACUGGGGAUGCUGCAUGUCAAACAGAUAAAGUACCCCGUCCCCCAGCACCUUGCUGUCUACUGACAGGAGACAGACCACAAACAACCCGUUAAAUAAGGAUAGUGUGUCAGAGAGGGUGGUUAGUGUAAAUGUGGCUGACUGUCCCAGCAAGGGAAACACAUGCAGCUUUCGUCAGGAGAACGCCACCAGAGAGGCACGAAAAAGAAAGAGAAAACAAAUUCCAUUGGAAGUGAAUGUUGUCCAGGCUUGUCCUAGCUUUUAGACUGCGUCACACAGGGAUGAUGAGCAUAUUUGUCGUUUUGUGACAGUGUGUGUGCGCGUGCGUGUGCGCUCGCGCAAGUGCCCCUCCCCCAAGGUCCUGCGUUCCCUGGGGUUGAAGAGGAAAAGUCUGAGUGGCAGGAGCCACAGAUCUCGCUAGCAGGAAGUAAUUUGAUCAUCUGCCUGCAGGGGGCACCCAAGGACUAUGACUGAAUUCUCAGGCAUCCAAGCCCAUUUCCCAAUGUUUUGGACGUCUUUUCAUCUUAUCCUGUUUGUAUCUGACUCAAAGAUGUUUGUAAGCUAUUUUGUCCUGACAGGGUUUGAAAUCCUCGUACCUCCCCACUGCACGUAGGACCGGUCAAACUAAAAUUCCAAACCAAGGCGCGCCUCCCUCUCUGAUCUUCGGGUAGCACUUUUCCCUGGAGAGACAUGGACAAACAUCUGCUCACCCUAGAAAGGAAAGCGAUGAUGGAACCAAGUAAGGAUGCCACACGAGUUCAAUUUAGUGAAACAAUGAGUUUAUCCCACCCGGGAGGGUGGGGGAUGGGGUUACGUUCAGGAGUGUGAGGGGCCACUUGGAGGAACGUGGAGGAAUCAAAGAUACUCUUAGUCCAGUCAGCAUGCCACCAAAAUCCCCACUGACCACUGCAGUCAGGCACUAGUUCUUUCAUCUGACAGCUCCCAGAAUGGGAAGGACACAGGCCUCUUGGAUGAAAAGGCCAGACCCCUCUCCAGGCAUAGAACCUUCCAGCACCUUGCUUGACAUUGGACUUGUUCACCUCCACAACUGUGCGAAGUUCAUCUCUGUUGCUUAGGAAUUACCAAUAACCGGGUCGCGGGGUUCCUUGUUACAGCGGCACCAACUUACUGAUCCACUUCUCUUAAACACUUUCACCCCUGCAAGCGACUCUAUAGCUCUCUGCCCGUUUCCUUGGGAGCUAUUUCUCUUCUGCUAAGCCAGGGGCACCAAGGGAAGCCGAUCUUGCCUGCUCAUUAAUGGGUAAACUGAUGUAUGGACAAUUAAAUGGCGGCAUAUUUAAGGACUAGAGAGUAUUGUGAGAUACGAGAUAGCUGCUGGUGCAUUUGUUCAGUAACAGUGUUCCAGAGCCCAUAUUCGUGUUCGCAUUUCUUCUUCCUGUGCCUAAUAUCAAACGCCUCGCAUAAACUGUAGCUCUGUGGGCCCGUCUCCUGAAUAACUGCAUUUUGUCACCAGGUGGCGCCAUGACUCCAAAUUUUAGCUUUUCUUCUGUGCAAAGCCUUAGGAACCGGCCCAAAGGACAUGCAGUCUAGUAAGCCACACUCUGGGCCAAAUAUAUAGUCAUCUCUUGCGAGUUUCAAGUUGUAAUUUUUCCUAGAAGAGGUAGAUCUUGUUUUCAAAGAUAUCCUGAAUAUAUGGAUUUUUAGAUUUUUAUGGAAUAGACCGUUUACUGGGCUAAGCAUUAAAACUUAAGUGUUAGAGU